rnacentral:rRNA from 1 species
AGAGUUUGAUCCUGGCUCAGGAUGAACGCUAGCUACAGGCUUAACACAUGCAAGUCUAGGGGAAACGAUAUUGGAAGCUUGCUUCCGAUAGGCGUCGACCGGCGCACGGGUGAGUAACGCGUAUCCAACCUGCCCACCACUUGGGGAUAACCUUGCGAAAGUAAGACUAAUACCCAAUGACGUCUCUAGAAGACAUCCGAAGGAGAUUAAAGAUUUAUCGGUGAUGGAUGGGGAUGCGUCUGAUUAGCUUGUUGGCGGGGUAACGGCCCACCAAGGCAACGAUCAGUAGGGGUUCUGAGAGGAAGGUCCCCCACAUUGGAACUGAGACACGGUCCAAACUCCUACGGGAGGCAGCAGUGAGGAAUAUUGGUCAAUGGGCGAGAGCCUGAACCAGCCAAGUAGCGUGCAGGAAGACGGCCCUAUGGGUUGUAAACUGCUUUUAUAAGGGAAUAAAGUUAGUCUCGUGAGACUUUUUGCAUGUACCUUAUGGAUAAGGACCGGCUAAUUCCGUGCCAGCAGCCGCGGUAAUACGGAAGGUCCGGGCGUUAUCCGGAUUUAUUGGGUUUAAAGGGAGCGUAGGCCGGAGAUUAAGCGUUGUGAAAUGUAGACGCUCAACGUCUGCACUGCAGCGCGAACUGGUUUCCUUGAGUACGCACAAAGUGGGCGGAAUUCGUGGUGUAGCGGUGAAAUGCUUAGAUAUCACGAAGAACUCCGAUUGCGAAGGCAGCUCACUGGGGCGCAACUGACGCUGAAGCUCGAAAGUGCGGGUAUCGAACAGGAUUAGAUACCCUGGUAGUCCGCACGGUAAACGAUGGAUGCCCGCUGUUGGUCUGAACAGGUCAGCGGCCAAGCGAAAGCAUUAAGCAUCCCACCUGGGGAGUACGCCGGCAACGGUGAAACUCAAAGGAAUUGACGGGGGCCCGCACAAGCGGAGGAACAUGUGGUUUAAUUCGACGCAACGCGAAGAACCUUACCAAGUCUUGACAUCCUCUGACGAACGUAGAAAUACGUUUUCUCUUCGGAGCAGAGAGACAGGUGGUGCAUGGUUGUCGUCAGCUCGUGUCGUGAGAUGUUGGGUUAAGUCCCGCAACGAGCGCAACCCUUAUGGUCAGUUACUACGCAAGAGGACUCUGGCCAGACUGCCGUUGACAAAACGGAGGAAGGUGGGGAUGACGUCAAAUCAUCAUGCCCUUUAUGACUUGGGCUACACACGUACUACAAUGGCGUUAAACAAAGAGAAGCAAGACCGCAAGGUGGAGCAAAACUCAGAAACAACGUCCCAGUUCGGACUGCAGGCUGCAACUCGCCUGCACGAAGUCGGAAUUGCUAGUAAUCGUGGAUCAGCAUGCCACGGUGAAUACGUUCCCGGGCCUUGUACACACCGCCCGUCACACCAUGAGAGCCGGGGGGACCCGAAGUCGGUAGUCUAACCGCAAGGAGGACGCCGCCGAAGGUAAAACUGGUGAUUGGGGUGAAGUCGUAACAAGGUA